CGCAAACCACCGUGUCCCAGCAACAGGCCACUAAAUGAGGCAGCACUAGGCUUGGGGCAGGCCAGAGUUCCUUUUGCCUAUGGAGCGUGUGGUGGCCACAGGCCCCAGACCAGGGGCCCCACCUCGGGCCAUUGAGAAUGUUCUGCCACAGGCGGAUGACUGGCUGCCAGGAGUCCCUGGGGGCGCCCCAGCCUGGGCCACCAGCCUUGAGACAGAGUUUCCCUCAGAUCUCGAGCUGAGUGAGGAGCAGCGGCUGCAGAUCUCCAAGGAGCUGGUCGACCUACAGAUCACAACCCACCGCCUGCGGGAGCAGCACGAGGUGGAAAUCUUCGACCUGAAGAGCGAGGUCCUUCGGCUGGAGAGCCGGGUGCUGGAGCUGGAGCUGCACAGAAAGCGAGCAGCCCCUGCAGAGGCUGACCUAGGGCACCGCCAGGUGCCAGCACAGGAGCUCGGGUGCAAGGCCAAUGGGCAAGGACAGUCUGACCGCCGCAGACUCCAGGCGCAGCUCCAGGACUCCCUGACCCCUGAGAAGGAGCGGCAGAAGCUGGGGAACAGCAGAAGUGUGCAGCCACCUAGCCCGGGGGAAAAAGUGAAGCAGGAGUUGGAGCAGCACAAGGCCCAGCAGCAGGCACUGGAGACACGCGUGGCAGCCCUGGGCCAGCAGCUGCAGGGAGCCCGAGAGGAGGCCAGGACAGCGGGACAGCGCCUGGCUGCACAAGCCGUGGUGUUGUCCACCUGCCAAGGCCAGCUCCGCCAGGCCGAGGCUGAGAAUGCCCGGCUGCAGCUGCAGCUGAAGAAGCUGAACGAGGAGUACGCCAUCCGGCUGCAGCGCUGCGCCCGAGCCGUGGCUGAGUAUGCAAAUGAUGCAGGCCAGGCACCUACUGCUGCCACCCUUCGGACAUUCCUGGACACCACUCUGGAGGACAUCCGGGCAGCGCAUCACAGCCGUGAGCAACAGCUGGCCCGGGCUGCUCAUGCCUACCGCAAGCGCCUAGCAGAUCUGAGCCGUAGGCAUGAGGAGCUGCUGGCCGCCCACAGUGUGCCGCAGGCGCUGGCAGACCCCAACGGGGCACCCAGGACCCCCAAGGCUACCUUUGAUGCAGCCAUCUCCAACCUGGAGCCACUGCCCCUGCAUUUGAUCACUCAGCUCGGCCACCUGUGGGAGGACCAGGCGAGGCUGGAGAUGCAGCCCCGGAAGCUCCAGGCCCAGCCUCUAAGCAGCCCGCCUUGUUCAGCUGACCGGGAACAUCUGCCACGCCGCCUUUACAGUCCAGCGGGCUUACGGUGCUGCUCUUGCUCCCACAGAAGGGACCGGGUGAAGCCUCCCAGGGCAGCACAUCAGAGCCACAGGACCUGGAAGCUGCAUCCUGGGCCCAGAUCCGCCAAAAGCUCCAGGACUUCUCUCGUGGCACCCAGGCAAAGCUGGAACGGGAGCGGGCACAGCUGCUAGUCCGGGCCACGAUGGCUGAGGAGCAACUUUCGGAGCUACAGGAGUAUGUGGACCAGCACCUGGGCAGCAGGUACAAGCAGGAGAUCCUGAGGCUGAGGAAGCUGGUGGGUAGAGAGGACCCCUGGAAAGUCGGGGGUAUACCUGCAGCCCAGCCCCAGCGCCCAAGGACCCGAAGCCGCUAGCUGGUCAUUGGAUACACUCGGAGCAGAACUCUUCCCGGCCAGCAUGGAGUCCUCCCCACAGUGCUCCCUGGGGGCCGUUCCAUGCAGUCCUCCACCCAACAAGAGUCAGGAUACAGCCUA